rnacentral:rRNA from 1 species
GACGAACGCUGGCGGCGUGCCUAAUACAUGCAAGUCGAGCGAAGUUUUUCUGGUGCUUGCACCGGAAAAACUUAGCGGCGAACGUGUGAGUAACACGUAAAGAACCUCCCUCAUAGACUGGGACAACUAUUGGAAACGAUAGCUAAUACCGGAUAAUAGCAUUAACUGCAUGGUUGAUGUUUAAAAGUUGGUUUUGCUAACACUAUGAGAUGGCUUUGCGGUGCAUUAGCUAGUUGGUGGGGUAAAGGCCUACCAAGGCGACGAUGCAUAGCCGACCUGAGAGGGUGAUCGGCCACACUGGGACUGAGACACGGCCCAGACUCCUACGGGAGGCAGCAGUAGGGAAUCUUCCGCAAUGGGCGAAAGCCUGACGGAGCAACGCCGCGUGAGUGAAGAAGGAUUUCGGUUCGUAAAGCUCUGUUGUUAGGGAAGAACGAUUGUGUAGUAACCAUACACAGUAGAGACGGUACCUAAUCAGAAAGCCACGGCUAACUACGUG